CCUACGGGUGGCAGCAGUGAGGAAUAUUGGUCAAUGGGCGAGAGCCUGAACCAGCCAAGUCGCGUGAGGGAGUAAUGCCCUAUGGGUUGUAAACCUCUUUUGUCGGGGAGCAAAAGCAGGACGUGUCCGGCUUUGAGAAUACCCGAAGAAAAAACAUCGGCUAACUCCGUGCCAGCAGCCGCGGUAAUACGGGGGAUGGGAGCGUUAUCCGGAUUUAUUGGGUUUAAAGGGUGCGCGGGCGGGUUUUUAAGUUAGCGGUCAAAUCGUGGGGCUCAACCCCAUCCAGCCGUUGAAACUGGUGAUCUAGAGUGUGCGAGAGGUAUGCGGAAUGCGUGGUGUAGCGGUGAAAUGCAUAGAUAUCACGCAGAACACCGAUUGCGAAGGCAGCAUACCGGCGCACAACUGACGCUCAGGCACGAAAGCGUGGGUAUCGAACAGGAUUAGAUACCCUUGUAGUC
rnacentral:rRNA from 1 species